ensembl:lncRNA
CCCUUAGCAGAGACACCGAUUCCCGGAACACAGAGCCACGCCCUGUGGGUGUCGUAGAAGUGAAGUGACCUCUGCAGAGGACCGGGCCGCCUGGCUGGAAGAAGCGUCGUUUUCCUCCCACCUUCUCCAAGGAGUUGGACGGUGUCUCAAGCCCGAAGCAGCGGUCUGCGGGGUGCUGACAGGCUCACUCCGGCCCGUGGCCCCAGGACGGCACGAGCUCGGGGGGACACACUUCGGUCUGGUCCUUUUUUCGUCCUGGGCCCACUUCCAGCCCCAGGUGGAAAGCCUUAAAAUGACAUUUCCAUUGCUUUUCUUACAGAUGGCCAGGGAAGGUUUGAGAGAGGAAGCGGUGUGUGAUGAAGGUAAACGAACUAGCUGCAGAGGAGAGGAGGUGCUGUGCUCCCUCACCCGUCUCUGCUUCCCGCCUCACAGCUCCCUCUUGAAAGGACCUCUGCUCACACUGCGUCCAUCUGGACCAUCCACGCUAAGCGCUCCCCACCCCCAACCCACCAAGGCCCUUGGCUCAGUCAUGUAUGCAGCGUCCCUUUUCCAUACAAAGUAUGGUUCCCCCGGUCAGGGUGUGGACAUCUUGGGGACCAUUGUCCUGUCUCAUCCCCUGACUGCAGCAUGUGUGCUGAGCCAGGACAGGACCUGCUUGUGGACAAAACCAGGGAUGGGUUAUGGACCUGCCCCUCAGGGCCUAGAGUCCAAUAUAGUCAGUGACUUUAAAGUAAAGCCAAGUGCUAUGUGAUUGAGGUUCCUUGGCCGCAGGUCACCUGCCCCCUUUCAGAAGCUGCUGGAGUCCUCCUUCCUCCCUAGGGCCCAGCGUGGACAUGCCUCUAACCCCUCUGUGCAAAAUCCAUGCUUUCUCCUUGUGUGGCCUUGACACUGGGCUCAUAUUCCCAGUUCCUACCCCAUUCUGCGUGGUUCCCCGCACCUGCCUUGGUUGGUGAUAUUUUCCUGAGUCACCCUGGCAGCUAGAACCUUCCCCACCCAGUCAAACGCUCCUCACAGUGCCCCUGGGGUGCACCGGCACAUCAGACAGGUCACACCGCUCGCUCUAUGCCCAAUUGCCAAGUUAAAAGAGGACUAACGCCUUAAAACUUUGAAGGGGAGACUCAGCCAAGAAUGCGCACUCCUGCUCAGUUUGUAGAAACACGUGCCUGUCUGGAUUCCACGCCGACAGAGGACCUAACAGCAGGUGCGUUUGAAGAGCAGGCCCAGGGACAAGCCACCUACCCCCGGACUUCAGGCCCUUCCCCUGUGGCCCUGCUCAUGUCUAGAGGGCUUGUCAGAGAUGCCUCAGAUUACAUUUCUGUCCAACUAGUGGGCAAAACAGCAAACCCAUUCUCCUCUGGUUUGUUUGCAGAGGAGCCCAUAGGGCAAGCCACAUGACCAGCCAGCCAAGCCCACCUUCCAGAGCCUUGGCUGGUUCACCCCAUCAUCACACUAGUGUCCUCUCUUCCCAGGAAUUAGCCCCACGGUCUCCCAAAACAAUGGUUUAAAUCAAUUUGCAGAGCAUCUGCUUUAAUGAGCUAAGAGUGGGCUAACACCACAGACUCAGCAAGCUGUAGCUCCCAUUCUAUUUAGUCACCUCCCUCUGUGGAUUUAAAAUCCACCAGAGCUUCAGACCAAGGGGAAUGUCAUCAC